rnacentral:rRNA from 1 species
AGAACGAACGCUGGCGGCAUGCCUAAUACAUGCAAGUCGAACGAACACUUCGGUGUUAGUGGCGCACGGGUGCGUAACGCGUGGGAAUCUACCCUUGGGUUCGGAAUAACAGUUGGAAACGACUGCUAAUACCGGAUGAUGACGAAAGUCCAAAGAUUUAUCGCCCAAGGAUGAGCCCGCGUAGGAUUAGCUAGUUGGUGAGGUAAAGGCUCACCAAGGCUACGAUCCUUAGCUGGUCUGAGAGGAUGAUCAGCCACACUGGGACUGAGACACGGCCCAGACUCCGUACGGGAGCAGCAGUAGGGAAUAGUUGGACAAGUGGGGGGACAACCCGUGAAUCCAGCAAUGCCGCGUGGAGUGAUGAAGGUCCGUUAGGUUAGUAAAGUC